rnacentral:sRNA from 1 species
GUCAGCUCCCGUCAAGCAGCCUGGCUCAUGGCUGUGUGGGGCCUGGGGAGCCGUCUUGGCCUGCGCGGGUGCUUCGGCGCCGCCAGGCUCCUGUAUCCCCGUUUCCAGAGCCGCGGCCCUCAGGGCGUGGAAGACGGGGACAGGCCACAGCCUUCCUCGAAGACACCCAGGAUCCCCAAGAUUUACACCAAAACGGGAGACAAAGGGUUUUCUAGUACCUUCACAGGAGAAAGGAGACCCAAAGAUGACCAAGUGUUUGAAGCUGUGGGAACUACAGAUGAAUUAAGUUCAGCUAUUGGGUUUGCUCUGGAAUUAGUCACAGAAAAGGGCCACACAUUUGCUGAAGAGCUUCAGAAAAUCCAGUGCACAUUGCAGGACGUUGGCUCGGCCCUGGCGACACCACGCUCCUCGGCCCGGGAGGCUCACUUAAGUAAUUCUCAAACUCCUGUGGGUGUUCAGAGGGCCCUAGGGUCAGGGGACUCUCCUAGGGUCACCAUCUGGGAUCCCAGGCCCCCAGGGACCCACG